rnacentral:ncRNA from 18 species
GUCCAACUAUAUGUUCGUGGCACAAGGUCCGCGGUGCAGGGAAGCCGGUGUGAAUCCGGCACGGUCCCGCCACUGUGACCGGGGAGUGUGCUGCCAUCCACACGCCACUGACGAGGUCUGUCGGGAAGGCGGGCGGCGCGCGGGGAUCCGGGAGUCAGGAUACCGGCCGCGGAUUGUUCCGUGUUG